rnacentral:rRNA from 1 species
UGGCUAACUCCGUGCCAGCAGCCGCGGUAAUACGGAGGGGGCUAGCGUUAUUCGGAAUUAUUGGGCGUAAAGGGCGCGUAGGCGGAUUAAUAAGUUAAAAGUGAAAUCCCAAGGCUCAACCUUGGAAUUGCUUUUAAAACUAUUAAUCUAGAGAUUGAAAGAGGAUAGAGGAAUUCCUAAUGUAGAGGUAAAAUUCGUAAAUAUUAGGAGGAACACCAGUGGCGAAG